rnacentral:snoRNA from 1 species
GGUCUGUGAUGAGAAAUAGCCAAAUCUGACCACCAGAAGAUCAUCUUCCAGGUGUCAUGAUUUGUAUGCGGUUCUGAGA